rnacentral:rRNA from 1 species
AAUUGCUAGUAAUGGCAGGUCAGCAUACUGCCGUGAAUACGUUCCCGGGCCCUUGUACACACCGCCCGUCACACCAUGAGAGUUGGAAAUACCCGAAGCCUGUGAGCUAACAGUAAUGAGGCAGCAGUCGAAGGUAGAGCCAAUGAUUGGGGUGAAGUCGUAACAAGGUAAC